rnacentral:rRNA from 1 species
UACGUAGGGUGCAAGCGUUGUCCGGAAUUAUUGGGCGUAAAGAGCUCGUAGGCGGUUUGUCGCGUCUGCUGUGAAAACUCGGGGCUUAACCCCGGGCCUGCAGUGGGUACGGGCAGACUAGAGUGCGGUAGGGGAGACUGGAAUUCCUGGUGUAGCGGUGAAAUGCACAGAUAUCAGGAGGAACACCGGUGGCGAAGGCGGGUCUCUGGGCCGUAACUGACGCUGAGGAGCGAAAGCGUGGGGAGCGAACAGG